rnacentral:lncRNA from 10 species
CACGAAUUUCAGGUUUCAGAUUUUUGGAAAUAGGGAUGUUCAACCUGUAUUUAUACAUGUGUGUUUGUGUGUGUAUAGACACAUACAUUUCUAAACCUUUUGAAACUGAUUGCAAGCAUCAUAAUAGUUCACCCCAAAUGUGUCAGCAUGCAUUUUCUCAGAAUAAAGACAUCUUCCUAAACAAACACAAAACCAUUAUCACAACUGGAGAAGUUAACAGUUCUCUAACAUCAUCUAAUAUCUACCCAUAUUCAAAUUUUCUCAAAUGUCCCCAAGAUGUCUCAUGCUUUCUAAAAUCAGGAUCCAAAGAUUAUACAUUGCAUUUGAUUUGUUGCUAAUCUUUCCAUCCACAACAGUUCCCCAUCUUUUUCUUCUUGCAACAUUGACUUUUUGAAUAGGCCAGUCCGGUUGUCAUAGAUUCUCUCGCAUUCCAGAUUGGUCUAAUUGACCACACUUUGAGAACCGCUGUUCCAACUUAUUUCCAGGACUCAAAUUAGUUCUAUUAGAUCUUUGCCUGACUUUCACAUUUAUCACUUACUGAUUUUUCUUUUAGCCUUUUUGUUUCAUUUUCUUGGCUCUUUUCAUUUAUAUCUUCCAUAUCCCUUAUUUUACAUUUGGUUGUAUCUCUUCUUCCUUAGAUACUUUAUAAUUGCCUUCACAUCUGAUAUGUGUUUGUCUUUUUCUCCGAAUUUUUUUCCUGAUUUUAGCCAGUCAUUCACAUCUGCAUUUUGUUUGUCCAGUUCUGAGUUUUUAAGUUGCUAUUUCAGAUUUUUUAAAUAUCUAAUAAUUUAAUUCAUAUUAGCAUAUUGUGUUAAAGUUUACUCUCCUUUUUCUCAUUUUCAAUUUCUCUUUAGAGUGACUUUAUUUUUUUUCCCUAGGGAUGUAAUUUUAUGUUGAGUUACCAGCAAUACUAGGUCAUCAAAUGGGAAGAAAGGGUCUGGGUUAGUUCAAGAAUAUUUUCUGCUUAGUUGUUUGUUUUUUGUGAGAUCAGGUAUCAUUCAAUAAUAAAGCUUUUUAUGGAGGUCUUACCUCCUGAUUCCUUAUUAGAACUUUAAAAAAUAUUUUUACUUUCAAAAAAUCAUAGAUUCACAAAUUGAAAAAAAAAAAAAAAAGAUCCUGUGUACCUUUCUCUCAGCCUAUCCCAGUGCUAACAUCUCAUAUAACCUGUAGUACAAUAGCAAAACCUGGAAACUGACAUUGGUACAGACCACAGACCUUAUAUUUAAAUUUUACCACUUUUAAAUGCUCUUGUGUGUAUAGUUGUAUGCAAUUCUAUCACAUGUAGAUUUUUGGUAACUGCCACCAUAAUCAAGAUACAGACCUGUUCCGUCAUCACAAAGAUCCCCAGUGCUGUCCCUUUACAGUCACACCCAUCUACCUCCUCCUCUCCCCCACCCAUCCCUAACUCUGACAGCACUAAUCUGUUCUCCAUAAUUUUGUUAUUUCAACAAUGUUAUACAAAUGGAAUCAUACAGUGAGACCCUGUGAUACUUUUUUUCACUCAACAUAAUUCCCUUGAGACCUAAGUUCUAUCAAUAGUUUGUUUCUUUUUACAGUUGACUAGUAUUUCAUUUUAUGGGCAUACCAUAUCAACCAUAUGCUGAGGGGCAUUUAGGUUAUUCCUGAUUUUUAGCUAUUACAAAUAAAGCUGC